AUUGAACGCUGGCGGCAUGCUUUACACAUGCAAGUCGAACGGUAACAGGGUGCUCGCACCGCUGACGAGUGGCGAACGGGUGAGUAAUGCGUCGGAACGUGCCGAGUAGUGGGGGAUAACGCAGCGAAAGUUGUGCUAAUACCGCAUACGUACUGAGGUAGAAAGUGGGGGACCUUCGGGCCUCACGCUAUUCGAGCGGCCGACGUCUGAUUAGCUAGUAGGUGAGGUAAAGGCUCACCUAGGCGACGAUCAGUAGCGGGUCUGAGAGGAUGAUCCGCCACACUGGGACUGAGACACGGACCAGACUCCUACGGGAGGCAGCAGUGGGGAAUUUUGGACAAUGGGCGAAAGCCUGAUCCAGCCAUGCCGCGUGUCUGAAGAAGGCCUUCGGGUUGUAAAGGACUUUUGUCAGGGAGGAAAUCCCUAGUGCUAAUAACACUGGGGGAUGACAGUACCUGAAGAAUAAGCACCGGCUAACUACGUGCCAGCAGCCGCCGUAA
rnacentral:rRNA from 1 species